GAGAAUUGACGUCAGAUUUGGUCACCGUGAAGAUAGUGGUGGAGGCUGCUGUAUUUUCAGGAACAGACACUGUUGUCGGCAGAUAAAUCAGCUGUUCAGAGACUAGAAUCAGUGUUGUGAGGUGUGUGUGUCCCACCAACACUGUAAUAUUGCAAUACAUUGAACGUUGGAAAUCGGAUCUCAUUUAUUUGGAGGAUCCUGAUUGUUAACCGUCCUACAUCAGGUUUGUGAUGACAGGUGGCUGGUUACGGAGAACAUAAAUGGUGAAGGUCCCAGUGGUCGUGUCCUUG